rnacentral:lncRNA from 1 species
UAGUAGAUGCCAAACUUCCAAUAAAUUCAGAUAAAAUAUCUCCAAAAUGUUUGGAAGCCUUCCAUCGAUGAACAGCAUGUCAAAUGAAACCAUGGAAACCUAGUGAGUAUCCUUCAUAUCUUGCGAACGGAGGAAUAGAAAAAGGAUAAAUGGAUAAGAGCACUAUACCUCUUUUGCAAACUCUGUGGGAAGAAUGUCCACAGAUGCACAUAUCACACCUUUACCCUCCAUGUCAUGGUGGUAAGAAUCAUUGAAGGGAUCGUAUCUAAAAAUUAUUACCAAAAUGAUCAACACAAAUAAAAUAACUAAAAAAUUGAAUAAUUACAGUAACUACCCCAUCAUAAUUAUAGAAAGAAUUUCUUGGGCUGGUUAAUCUCAGAGCUAAACUAGAUGAAAGUUUUCUGAGGCAGAACCAUUGGUUAAUAUUGCAAGCAGU